ensembl:lncRNA
AUCAAUAAUAUGGAAAUAGGUAUCAAGUGAUAACAUUUGUACAACCCUGUGAAAUCAAUUGUUGGCUCUGGGAGGGGGAAGGGAAGAGAAGAGGAAAAGAACAUGAAUCAUGUAACCAUGGAAAAAUAUUCUAAAUUAAUUAAUUUUUAUAAAGAUACUAUGCUUUGAGUUGUGAAGAUUGGAUUUAGCUAUCUCCUGAUUUGUAACAAUGAAGAUGCUUAGCCUAACAAAAUCAGGGAUGUCUUAGGAACUUUGCAUUAUUCCACCUUACUUUGUUUAACAAAAUCGGGAAUGUGUGUAACCAUGCUUGAAGCUUGAGUGUUUAGGAGGAUGGCCUUUGAUAGAGAAAUUGACAAAUCAGAAACAGCUGACAGACCCCUGGGCUGUCCUAAGUCAAGCUUAGGCUAAGAUUGGUACAGAGGAGAUGCAGGAAAGGGAGGUAGAAUCAUCUAGGGUUUUUUUUCACAGGGCUUCCUCUCAUCUGUCUCUUUCCCUGCUCUGGCUGGCAGUGUGCUAAGUGUUCCGACAUCUUGGCGUGGCGGCAGCUAUUUGUCUGUGUUUUGGUGGUGAGUUUGCCCUUGAGCUAAUUCAGGUCCAGGCAUCUUGGCUGAGCCCUCUUGGAGUUCAGGCUGAUUCCUUCUUCCUUUCCUCUCCAAAACUUUAUCUUCCUAGAGCCUCUAAUCUUCCUCCUGGCAUAAGCCAGGUGGGAAAAAUCCUACACCCUUUCCUUCUCCCUUCUUCUUAAUUUCUUUCCACUAUAUUAAUUAAAUCACUAUAAAUUUCCAGCUGACUUGGGUAUUUUUUAUUUGGGAUAUUCAUGGCGACCAAUAAUUAAUAUAGUUUAGGUCACAAUGCUAAAAUUAUCCUUAACAGAGUGAAGAAGACGGGUUUAAAUUUUUCUUCAAACACUACCAGCUGUGUGACCCAAAAUCUAUAUGCUUCAAGCAACUUUCUAGAGCUUAUCAACUAAAGUCAUGCUUGAGUUGGAAUCAUGCCAGUGAAGAAAGUUUCCAUUCUAAGAGUUAUCAAUGCACUGAUCUGGGACGAUCCUGGAAGACCUAUGAUGAGAAAGGCUAUCCACCUCCGGAGCAAGAACUCUUGGAUGCUGGAGGCAUCUUAGCUCUAAGAUUUAAUAUUAAAAACUUAUAUAUGUAACUUUGGAAAAUUGCUAGUUAGUCUGAAAAUGUACCAUGAUAUAGUGUGAUUUUAUGGUAAUAAUUGUAUACUAAUCAAAGGUGAAAUGUUAGCAAAAUUCAAUUCUGCACAGUAUCUAUACUAGAGAAUUGUUUAUUGUCACUAAGAAAUUUCAGAACUCUCUGAAUGUAAUUAAUAGGCAGCUUGACACAAAGAGGGAAUUUUCCUUUUCAAAGGCAAAAAACAAUACUGGAUAAUAUUUAUGUGCAAAAUUCAGUCAGACAGAGGUUAUGGUGUAUUGUGGAGAAUCUUUUCUAAGAUUGAAAUUUGGGGUUUUAUGUGGGAUGUCUUUUAAUAACAUGUACUACAUGUUAGUAUUGAGCUCUUAGAAGUUUAAUUUGAUAAUCAAUAUGUGAAUUUAUAUAGGUAUUAAAAAGCUUAAAUUGGAAUUUUUAAUCAAUGUUAUACUUUAUUGUACUGAGAAAUUGUUUUUAUCUAUUCAAAUAUAAUCUGUUAGAAUGUCAUAAUGGAUAUAUACAAAAUUUGUAUGAAGUUGAGCUGUGAAGAAAAUCAAUUUUUAUGCAAACUAUAUAUAAUGCUAUUGGCAAAGGAAAUUCAACCUAUCCAGAAAUCAAAUAAGAUUCAUUCUUAGGCUAUUAAACAUAAGUAAAAUGUAGUCACCCCUCCCCUAUUUAUAGUAAGAGUAAUAGAGACAAAAAAUGAAGGUUUUCUUCUUCUUGGAGCAGAAGUUUGAAAGGAGAACUGGAAUCUUAAGGAAACAUUGUUAGGGAACUCUAAACAAAGUCAAUUUGGAAGUUGGGAAGUUUUAAUUAAUAUAUUGGGAGUGUUUUAAUAUCACAAUUAAAAAAAACAUGCAACUUAAGUGUUAUUGAAAAGAAAGGAACAAAAUUUUUUCCCUCGGCAAAGUACCUUUACUGGGAAAACAGCCAAGUGCAACCAGUCUUGGACCUUUUCCAAAAAUAACUCAAACCCUUCCUCAGGCAUAGGCAAGAGAUCAAAA